rnacentral:rRNA from 1 species
AUACGGAGGAUGCGAGCGUUAUCCGGAUUUAUUGGGUUUAAAGGGUGCGUAGGCUGUGCGUUAAGUCAGGGGUGAAAUGCCGUCGCUCAACGACGGAGCUGCCCUUGAUACUGGCGUGCUGGAGUACGGAUGCCGUUGGAGGAAUGAGUGGUGUAGCGGUGAAAUGCUUAGAUAUCACUCAGAACACCGAUUGCGAAGGCAUCUGACGAAUCCGUCACUGACGCUGAGGCACGAAAGCGUGGGGAUAGAACAGGAUUAGAUACCCUGGUAUUCCACGCCGUAAACGAUGAUGACUAGCCGUCGGCGAUAGACAGCCGGUGGCCAAGCGAAAGCGAUAAGUCAUCCACCUGGGGAGUACGUCGGCAACGAUGAAACUCAAAUGAAUUGGCGGGG